rnacentral:snoRNA from 1 species
GCGCAAUGACGAAGAAGAACUCUCUCACUGAAUUUCCAUGUGGUUUACCUACAUUAUCAGAGCGCG